UGGGGAAUAUUGCACAAUGGGCGCAAGCCUGAUGCAGCCAUGCCGCGUGUGUGAAGAAGGCCUUCGGGUUGUAAAGCACUUUCAGCGAGGAGGAAGGUGGUGAACUUAAUACGUUCAUCAAUUGACGUUACUCGCAGAAGAAGCACCGGCUAACUCCGUGCCAGCAGCCGCGGUAAUACGGAGGGUGCAAGCGUUAAUCGGAAUUACUGGGCGUAAAGCGCACGCAGGCGGUUUGUUAAGUCAGAUGUGAAAUCCCCGGGGCUCAACCUGGGAACUGCAUUUGAAACUGGCAAGCUAGAGUCUCGUAGAGGGGGGUAGAAUUCCAGGUGUAGCGGUGAAAUGCGUAGAGAUCUGGAGGAAUACCGGUGGCGAAGGCGGCCCCCUGGACGAAGACUGACGCUCAGGUGCCGAAAAGGCGUGGGGGAGCAAAACAGGAUUAGAUACCCCUGGUAGUCCACGCUGU
rnacentral:rRNA from 1 species